rfam:Spirochaetes bacterium DG_61 WOR1_52_54_11178, whole genome shotgun sequence.
GGGCCCUUAGCUCAGCUGGUCAGAGCAGUUGACUCAUAAUCAACGGGUCGAAGGUUCGAAUCCUUCAGGGCCCA